CGUAAAGCGCACGCAGGCGGUUUGUUAAGUCAGAUGUGAAAUCCCCGGGCUCAACCUGGGAACUGCAUCUGAUACUGGCAAGCUUGAGUCUCGUAGAGGGGGGUAGAAUUCCAGGUGUAGCGUGAAAUGCGUAGAGAUCUGGAGGAAUACCGGUUGUGAAAGGCGGCCCCUGGACGAAGACUGACCCCUCAGGUGCCGAAGCGGUGGGGGAGCAAACAGGAUUAGAUACCUGGUAGUCCACCGCCGUAAACCGAUGUCGACUUGGAGGUUGUGCCCUUGGAGGCGGUGGCUUUCCGGAGCUAACGCGCGUUAAGUCCGACCGCCCUGGGGGAGUACGGCCGCAAGGUUAAAACUCAAAUGAAUUGACGGGGGCCCGCACA
rnacentral:rRNA from 1 species